rnacentral:rRNA from 1 species
UACGUAGGGUGCGAGCGUUGUCCGGAAUUAUUGGGCGUAAAGGGCUCGUAGGCGGUUUGUCACGUCGGGAGUGAAAACUCGGGGCUUAACCCCGAGCCUGCUUCCGAUACGGGCUGGCUAGAGGUAGGUAGGGGAGAACGGAAUUCCUGGUGUAGCGGUGAAAUGCGCAGAUAUCAGGAAGAACACCCGUGGCGAAGGCGGCUUUCUGGGACGGUACUGACGCUGAGACGCGAAAGCGUGGGGAGCGAACAGG